CCACAGGAAACCCUCUCGGCCAGCAACGAGACCGGCGCCAAUAGCACUUCCUCUCCAGGGGUCUCGCACGGGAGCUAUAGGACAGUGUGGCACAGACUGUGGCUGCACCGGUGAUCUCGCAAUCGCCGUCCACGGUGGCGGAGGCGAGACCGGUGUAGGCCGCUACAACUCUGAAUCUCGGUCGCAGGCUGGUUCUUUCCACUGAAUGUUUUUACCCCUGCGACUCUGCUCCCCCGGGACGAUCUCCACUAGCGCCGCUGCCGCCUCCUCUCAGCCUUCGCAAGCAGCGGGUGGAUGCACCAGUCACCGAUGAUGCUUGCUAAAAUUCCACAUGUUGUGGUGGCGACGACGAACCCGCCUACAUGUGCACGGAGACAUCUUCUAGCCCCUUGUCAAGGCAAGAAGCAGACUGAUUUUUGUGUAAAACCUGGCUUCUUCUAGAAAGGGUUUGCGUUCAGUUUAUGGCUAGUUGUUGGGGUGCUGGACGAUGCGCAGGCACGGGUCACCAAUGCUUUUUAUGAUCCAUGGAACGGUAAUGACUGCCUAAUUCACAAGGGAUGGAUUUUGAUUGUUAAUAUAAUUCAGUACUGUAUCCAAACUUUUCUGAAUCAGUUAUCCGUGUAAUGUAUCCAAAAUUUUCCGAACCACUUUUCUGAAUCAGUUAUCCGUGUACUGUAUCCAUGUUUCGAUUUUGGUGUGCAAACAAAUUAGAAUGAAAAUGCCUCCAUGUCAACCAUGCAUUGGUUGAAUAUUAAUUUUAACCAAUAAUGUGUAGCAUAUGUCAUUCAAAAUAGAAGCAGCCAAACUAAUUCUGAAGGUCUACAUGGUUCGUUGGGCAUCUGUCAUUAAUACUGAAUUUUCAGUGAGAGCUACCUCGCAGUGUAGUAUUUUUAACCAAGAUAUUUGUUUUGUUCCAUUACCAACUGAGCAUAGGUUCAUAUAUUGUUAGGUGACAAAGAUGCAGCUCCAAAAAAAGGAAAUAGAGAUGGGUUCAGAUAUCGUGAGACAUAUAUUGUCAUGUUAGGAAUAUAUAUUAGGACUCCAUUCAGUUAUACAUAUAAAAGAUGACUGCUUCUGUAUUUUCGCCAAUAUUUUUAUGAUGAUCUUGUCAAUAGAUUGCUACUAGGUCAUCUGUUGUAUGUGAUUUUGAGGUCUAUGAUACCGGGGACAUAGCUUGUACGUGUUGUUCAAAGAUGUAAAUUAGAUUCUUUUAUGAGGUUAUGCGAAUCCGUGUUAACUUGAUGCCAAUUGCUAAAUCUUCCAUAUAUUAAUGUAUGCCUAUUUCUACCAGUGCCCUUCUAUCCAUAGCUGAAUCUGAAGGAUACAUGAAGUAUGAGUGCUGGUAACUGAUAAUGUAUUUAUUUGGUUAUUCAAAGCUACUCCCUCCGUAACCAAAUUCGGAGGGAGUAUGCAACACUCUUUGUUCAAUUACUACUUAUCUAAGAAUUUCAUUCUACAAUACUUUUUUUAAAUUCACUCAAAUUAAUGUUGCAUCAGUUUCUAGACUUCAAGGUAUAACACUCUACAGUGGACUUGUGAAAUCUGAGAUUUAGUGUUUAGGAUAUUAUGAUUUCCAAAAAUCUUGAAUGUAAAUCAGCAAAUGUGUGAUGUGCAUACAAAAAAGUUGCUAGAAUUUUGAUAUUUGAAUUGAGAUUCACACAUGUCUUACUAUUAGCUUCCCCUUGAAUAAUUAUUUCAAGUCAGCAGCUAUAUGGAAUUGAGGGUUCACUGUUUCAUUGACAGCUUUAUGUCAAUAUAGUAUUAUCUUUAGUUUGGACUUUUGACUUGGCCAUAAUGGUAGACUAGGAAAUAUCCGUCCCAUUGGUCGGAAUACUUAUUGUCGACAUUACUGUUAAUAUUUGAUGAUACAUAUUACCGGUUUCUAUUGUUUCUAGGAGCUGCAAGGCAGUGGUCUUUCUGAAAUGUCUAGCAUGUAGAUCGUACUUAUAGUAAAAAGGAACACCUGGCCUGAUCGUGUAUGGUGCUAGCAGUUAUCUGUAGGUAUAGCUAAAUUGAAGAUAUAUUCUCGCUAUUUGCCUCUGUGAGGCUUACGUUUUUUACCAUAUGACUCAGGAUUGUUGUAGGCUUGUAGUAGCCAUCUGUAGAUCAAAAUAUAAAAUUAAGAUGCUCUACGUGAAGGCGAAGCUAAUAUUUUUCUUGCUACCGCAACAGUGCAUUCUGUAGCAUUCUAUUUAUUUUGUAUUCAUUGAAAAAAUUUAAAGGCGCAAAAAUAUAUAUAUUGUGAUCUUUAUCCUAACUAGACCAUGCUAAACAUAUAUUUUUCGAAGACAUCGUUGGGAAGGCAAUGGACGGAUAUCCACCUUUGUUAUGUGACCCUUAUCCUAACUGGCGCAAAAAAAUUGAAGGCGCAAAGAUAUAUUUUUUGAAUUCAUUUUUUGUAUUCUAUUACCCAUGGCAACGCAUGGGCAUUCAGCUAGUAAAAAAUAUAAAAGGUAGAGAUACUUGGUAGAUCGUUUUUACGUACUAUUGGUGCCGUGAUUGAUAUGAAAGAAGGCAAUAUUACAUUUCAAUUUCCUUUGAGCAAGGGUAUGGGACACUUUCCUAUAACAAGAAUUAAGCCACUACAUUAAUCAAUCAUGAGGGCAUCUUAUGGAUCUAGAUCUCAAGAUGACAAUGCUUAAAUCUAUGCACUAUGCCUAGCUAGGGGCAUAAAACGAUAGCGCUUGUUGGGAGGCAACCUAAUGAAUAAAAUUUAUUUUUGUCUUUUUCUUUCUGUUCUUGAGUGUUUGCACGAUUAUGCCACUGUUAUGAUUGUUUUUUUGUGUUUUAGUUAGUUUUUGUGCCAAGCAAAGCCCUUGGGGUCAUGUUGGGUGAUAGUUGAUUUGAUCUAGUUGAAAAACAGAAUCUUUGCGCGCCAGUCAUAGAAUUGUGAAAAAUCACAGAAGCGCGAUAAAAUCCUGAUUUUUGUACACAAAAUUGAUAUACAAAUUUCCUACGUUUUUCCUAAUUUCUCAGAAUUUUCAGAAUUACAGAAGUAUUCAAAGUUUUCAUAUUGCUACAGACUGUUAUGUUUUUGACAGAUUCUGUUUUCUUUGUGUUGUGUGCUUAUUUUGAUAAAUCUAUGGUUUGUAUUAGAGGGUAUAAGCCAUAGUAAAGUUGGAAUACAGUAGAUAUAAUGCAAAAAUAAAAUAUGAAUGGGUUUGCAACAGUACUUAGAGUAGGGAUUUGCUUUGUUAUACUAACGGAUCUCACGAAGGUUUUGUUGAGUUUUGUGUGAUUGAAGUUUUCAAGUUUUGGGUGAGAUCACGAUGGAUGAAGGAAUAAGGAGUAAGAAGAGCCUAAGCUUGGGGAUGCCCACGGCACCCAAGUUAUUAUCCAAAGAGGAACAAACAACUAAGCUUGGGAUGCCCCGAGUGGCAUCACCUCUUUCUUCUAACGACCAUCGGUAUUUUACCUGGAACUAUAUUUUUAUUCGUCACAUAUCAUGAGUUUUGCUUGGAGCGUCUUGUAUUAUAUGAGUCUUUGCUUGUUUUGCUUUUUAUUUUAAGUCAAGUAUCCGUGCUGAACACACCUAUUUGAGAGAGCCAAAAUUAUGCUAUGAUUUGUUAGAAUUGCUCUAUGUGCUUCACUUAAAUUUUUUGAGCUAUGGAAUUGCUCUAGUGCUUCACUUAUAUCAUUUUGAGCAUGGUGUGCUUUAUUAUUUUUGAAGAAAUGCUCUCAUGCUUCACUUAGAUUAAUUUGAGAGUUAGUGAUUUUUUUUAGAAAUUCUCUCAUGCUUGACUUAUAUUAUUUUGAGAGAAGGAAAUUUUAUGCUCAUGUUCUUCACUUAGAUUUGUUUGAGCUAUCAAAAGCAACAUAUGAAACUAGUCCCAAAGUGAUAGAUAUUCAAGAGGGAUAGACUAAGAACUUUCAUAAAGAUCAUUGCACAAAAUAAACUUGAUUCUUUGUAAUAGUUUUGCGAUAUGAUGAUAGUGAUAUGUGAGUCAUGUUGGUGAGUAAUUAUGGUUUAGUAAGAAUAUUGAUGUUAAGGUUUGUGAUUCCCUAUGCAAGCACGAAAGUCAAUAGUUAUGCAAUGAAAUUACAUCCUACUUGUGGUGCAUUAUUUGGUGUUAGUUAUGCUUAAUGCUCGCUUAUGAGAUUUUUCGUUUCUUGGUUGGAUGCUUCUCAAUCUUUUGCUAGCCUUCAUUUGUACUAAGUAUGAUCACUACUUGUGCAUCCAAAAUACUUAAACAAGUUUUUGCCAUAUGAGUCCACCAUACCUACCUAUAUGGAGUAUUCUUUUGCCAUUCUAAGCAAAUUUGCAUGUGCCAUCUCUAAUCUUCAAAAUAAAUUUCCUUUUUGUGUGCUCGUACCGCUCAUGAAACGGUAGGGGGUGGCUGAUAUUUUUCCUAGCUAGCUGUGUUAUUCUCAAGAUGAGUGUUUAUUCACUUGUCAUUGCACGAGAGUACGGCAAAGGUAUUAGGGAUGCCAAGUCCUGGAAUGAAAAAUGAAUUUACUUUAUGUUGUAAAAUAAUAAAUUCCUUGGAAAGUGUUGGUAUGGACGGCACCCGUGGAAUGUGAAAAGUAUGGUGGAAAUAGGAAUAAACUUUAUUUUCUGUUUGGGAACCGCCUUUGAUAUAUCUAGCAUGGAAAGUAAUGGGAACUACUCGAUCAUUUUCGUUGACAUGAAAGGCAUGCCACCCAAAAUGUUGUAUCUCUUAAUUUUUUGCUUUGAGCUCUAGGACCUCUACAAAUCCCUACUUCCUUUUGCGAAGGGCCUUUCUUUUUUACUUUAUGCAAUUUUUAUUUUGAGUCUCCAUCUUCUCUUGUAAAGCACCAACUAAGGGGCACUAUGAUCGUACUUGAGCAUUGGGUGUAGCUAAUAUGCGAGUGUGUUUCAUGAAUAGAUCAAUGAUUGAGCAUAAUGGGCUAGGGAUAACUUGCUUUAGUGUUGAUAUUUUGAAACACAUGGUUGCUUGUUGAUAUGCUUGAGUAUUGAAAUCCUCAUGUCAAAACUAGAGUAUUGCUUUGAAUCAUAUAGAAGUCCAAAUGUCCAUGCUAAAAAAAAAAGAAUAUGCGAUGAACAUCGUGAUGGUUCGACCUCCCCUCGUGGUUCGACGACCUCGUUCGAUCCCCCCGCCUCGUACGCCAACCAUCCCCACCCCACGAUUCGACCUCUUUCUAGUUCUACUGCGCGAUUAAAAAGGAAGAAAACAACCGCCGGUCCGCCACCCACGCACGGAGUCCCACACAUCCCACGCACAUCUUCCCAAUCCAUCUCGCCGCUGAGAAAGAUCGCCGCCCCGCCCUGUCCUGCUGCACGCUCCUCUGCCACGACUACUCGAUGAGCCGCCCUUCUUGAUCGCUGUCCGUGGCUCGUCUCGGUCGCUGUCGUGUGCCUCGACUUCUCUGGUGGUUGGGGUCAACGGUGUAGGCGGAGUCGCAACCCGCGACAACCGUAGAAGCAGGCUCCAUCGGGGAACGCGACGGGAACCUGCCACCGGAGACGCUUCAUGAUGGUUCCAAGCGCGCGGCAGCUAUCCGGACGCAGGCAUCGCGUGCGAGCUGGCCUAGCCACGGGAAACCCUCUCGGCCAGCAGCAAGACUGGCGCCAAUAGCACUUCCUCUCCAGGGGUCUCGCACGGGAGCUAUAGGACAGUGUGGCACAGACUGUGGCUGCACCGGUGAUCUCGCAAUCGCCGUCCACGGUGGUGGAGGCGAGACCGGUGUAGGCUGCUACAACUCUGAAUCUCGGUCGCAGGCUGGUUCUUUCCACUGAAUGUUUUUACCCCUGCGACUCUGCUCCCCCGGGACGAUCUCCACUAGCACUGUUGCCGCCUCCUCUCAGCCUUCGCAAGCAGCAGGUGGAUGCACCAGUCACCGACGAUGCUUGCUAAAACUCCACAUGUUGUGGUGGCGACGACGAACUCGCCUACAUGUGCACGGAGACAUCUUCUAGCCCCUUGUCAAGGGCAAGGAGCAGACUGAUUUUUUUGUACAACCUGGCUUCUUCUAGAAAGGGUUUGCGUUCAGUUUAUGGCUGGUUGUUGGGGUACUGGAUGAUGCACAGGGACGGGUCACCAAUGCUUUCUAUGAUCCAUGGAACGGUAAUGACUGCCUAAUUCACAAGGGAUGGAUUUUGAUUGUUAAUAUAAUUCAGUACUGUAUCCAAACUUUUCUGAAUCAGUUAUCUGUGUAAUGUAUCCAAAAUUUUCCGAACCACUUUUCUGAAUCAG
rnacentral:rRNA from 1 species